UACGUAGGGUGCGAGCGUUAAUCGGAAUUACUGGGCGUAAAGUGUGCGCAGGCGGCUUCGCAAGUCGAGUGUGAAAUCCCCGAGCUUAACUUGGGAAUUGCGCUCGAAACUACGGAGCUGGAGUGUGGCAGAGGAAGGUGGAAUUCCACGUGUAGCGGUGAAAUGCGUAGAGAUGUGGAGGAACACCGAUGGCGAAGGCAGCCUUCUGGGCCAACACUGACGCUAAUGCACGAAAGCGUGGGGAGCAAACAGG
rnacentral:rRNA from 1 species